AUGUAAAUAAAAGCACACACUGACUCACACAUAAAAAGUUAUGCUAUCAUUUUUCAAAUAGAAAUUCAUGUAAUUUCAUCAAGCUACAUAUCGCCACCUAAAAUGCAAAAUAAUGUAACAUCACUUUUCAUAAGUUUACAAGCGAAGAAAACAAUGUAAAAUAAACCACUCAAAUGAAAACAAAAUGUGACCAAAUGCAAUUGUAAAGGCAAAUUAUUUUUAAGACAACAAAAUGCUUUCGAGUGAAGUGUGGCAGUGACGAGCAAAGCAAUGAAGUCAACGCCAGCAAUGCCACCGUUGUUUAUAGCAGAUAAAAUACAACAACAAAAAUAAAUAAGAAACAAGCAAAUAAUGACUUGACAUCUGAAUAUGUAGCUGUCUCGAAUCUGCUCUUAUAAGCAAUUCACGUUUUUAGUACAAAUUAACCGUUUAAAGCAUUUGGAUGCGGCGCAGCUGCGCAGUGAAAAUUUGCAACAAAUAUACAUAGUAGAUGUUAUAGCAAAUGGAA